AUAUGCAAAUAAAGGUUCUUCAGAAGUAGAUGAAGUGUGUGUGUGUCAGUGAGAGGACAGAAGAGCUCACGUCAGUUCAGCUUCAACAUCAACCAUGUUCUCUGUAGCUCUGAUACUGCUGCUGGCAGCUGGAUCAUGUGUGAAGUGUGAACAGUUGACACAGCCAGCCUCUGUGACUGUGCAGCCAGGUCAACGUCUGACCAUCACCUGUCAGGUCUCUUAUUCGCUUAGCAGCUACUACACAGCUUGGAUCAGACAGCCUGCAGGGAAAGAACUGGAGUGGAUGAGUGAUGACUCAAGCGUCAAAGAUUCACUAAAGAACAAGUUUAGUGUCGACUUAGACUCUUCCAGCAAAACAGUGACUCUCAAUGGACAGAACAUGCAGCCUGAAGACACUGCUGUGUAUUACUGUGCCAGACACACAACAACACAAACCAUCUGUAGACCUGAACAAAAACCCCUCAGUGCCUGAACACUUGUAACAUGAAGCCACCAGAGGAGGAGCCCUCAGACCACUAAUGAUUUCACACCAGUUCACUGUUACAGUAAAGGGGGAAACAGUUUUCUUUGCAUCUCUCUAUUUUCCCUGCAUUGGCUCACAAUAAUUUGUGCUUUUCCAGAAUGAUAAUUGACUAGAGCACAGACUCAACUAGCAAUAUAUGAUCUGUCAAAAGGCCUCAAUCUGACAAAAGUUAGUUUGUGUGCAGUGACUGUGAGUUUUGAAUGAGAGUUUAUCUAAUCACAGCAGCAUUAAUAUGAUUUAAUUAACACUCAUUCAGUGAAUUACAGAAUUGUAUUAA